UGCUGACAGUGUGCUUCCGUUAAUGUCAAACAAAUAAGGCCACGGCCAUAUGUGGCCAUAAAAUUUAUUGUUUCUGGUGUAACAAAAUCUGCCGCUA
rnacentral:antisense_RNA from 1 species